rnacentral:lncRNA from 1 species
UCGCCAGGACAGGAAAAAGCCUUGAGGAGUUGGAGAAGGAGAUGCUGAAGGGACAGAAGCUGCAAGGGCCACACACCUCUGCCCAGGUGUACCGCAUCCUCAAGCAGAAGGGGCUGCUGGACAAGUUUCCACUGUUCACAGUUGUGUAUCAAAUCUGUUACGAGGGCAGAGCAGUUACCGAGCUGAUACCCUGUCUACAGAACCACCCAGAGCACAGGCGAAGGGAACUGGGGACAAGCCCAGCUCUACCUCACCCAUCUCAGGGUCACACAGACACCAGGACGUGACAGUAAGAUGGUUGCCUGCCUUUCUCUCAUCUUGGACACACGAAUUUCUGGGUCAUGAGAGAGGACUCAGUGGCUGAUGUACUGGUAACAACUACACAUACACAAUGAAUGUGAAAAAACACAGCAAAGAAAAAAAAUACAGCUUGGGAGUUGAAUCAGGA